UUUAAGUGUAGGUACUUGAAAUAUGGACUUGUGUUUUGAAUUUAGUUAAGUGAGGUCACUUGAGAAGUGAAUAAGUGACUUGAAAAUGUUUAAGUGUGGGUACUUGAAAUGUGAACUUGUGUUUUGAAUUUAUUUAAGUGUGGUCACUUGAGAAGUGAAUUAGUGUGUUGAAAAUGUUUAAGUGUAGUUACUUGAAAGGUG
rnacentral:lncRNA from 1 species